UUUAAUGGACUUUUAAUAACUCCGAGCAAUGCUGUGUACUCCUCCUAGUUAUUUAAUAAAUACUUUCUAUUAAAUCACUCAAGGGACUCCUAUGAUAUUUUCUGAUAUCAAUUUUGAUAUUUCUAAUUUUACUACUUAUAUAACCAAGAUAAUAGUCUCCUGCAUCGAGAGUCAUCCAAAUUUUGUUAUUGAUAUUUACAGUGGAAAAGUGAUUCACUCUCGCCUCUCCAUUACAUAAUUAAUGAAGUCUCAAGGUAAAGAAGUUUUAUCCAUUAUAAAUAAAGUAUUUGAGGAUAAAGAUAUGUUCAUUGCAUUGGAAGAAACUACAGACUCGACAGCGAUCCAUGAUUCUAGUUUUGGUUGCUCCUUUAGAUGGUCAUUUUUUCGGUCGUUCUUAUUUCAUUAAUUUGGAAAGUAUACAAAGAUUACAAGCGUUGCUUUAAUAAGUAUAAAAACUAAUUAGUGUAAACUUUUCAUGUGUAAAUUUUCAUGAAUUUAGCAAAAUUUGGAUGAUCUUGUUAUAUCAGUAAUAAAAUUGGAAUAGUCAGAAUUGUGACUUGUAUACAAUACUAAAUUUAUUUAAUUAAUUUCAGUUCUACUGUGUUGUUUACUUUGAACGUCUACAGGAAUAUAGUUCCAUAAUUACAAAAAACCUCAAAUCUUCUUCGUAACCCCAUACAUUUUUACCACUAUUAUCAGCAAUCUAGGACUUUAAACGUCCACAUUAGUAGUUGAAGCGAAUUUGAAGUUGAUGAGAUCUUUAGGAGUCUUGUUAGGCGGAGGUCAUCACCACCACCACUGAUUAUGCGUCUAACCCUUUGCAUAAAUAGAAGAUCAGGAUGUCUGUGAAUAAAUGAAGUUAUUUUAUUCUAAAGUAUUUCCCCCUUUUCUCCUAGAAAUUGUUUUCAUCUUUUUUUUGGCUUUUCAGAGAAUCAUAAAUGUAGGAGGGUUUAUGCAUGAGUAAAUAAAUUAUUUUUGUAGGGAAAAAUAUGUAUAUGAUACAAUCAAAUUUAUGACUAGAUGAUAUGAUAUGUUAGGUUGUAAGACUCCAACAACAGAUAAUUAGUGGAAGGGGAAAUUUGGCCACAAAAAAAUUACAGUUCAAUAAUCCACCUUGAAUCUUGCACCGAAAAAGAAAUAGUUUGUGCCAAAUUUUUCCUUACUCUGAUUGGAUGUUAUGCCAUUUAUUUUGAAUCUGAUAUGUGCCAGAGGUACUUGUACUACUCAAUUGGUUCUCAAAUGUGGAGGGGGGUACCCGUACUCCUUGGGGUACUUGGAGGUACUCCAGGGGGAACUUCAGAUUAAAAAAAAUAUAUAAGCAUAAUUUAAAAAGUAAUUAUAAAUAUAACAAUAAAAUAUAAGUAUUUAUGCAAAAAAAUCAGAAGGCGCCACACCUACAAAAAAUAAAAUUUCGCCAGUAUUUAGAAGAAUACAUCGUAAUGGGAUUCACUUCCACAAGCUCUAGUCUUCCCAUGGUGAUUUGUUUUUUCUGUGAGGAGAAGUUGGCUAACAGUAGAAUGAAACCAACUAAUCUCAAGCAUAAUCUGCAGGUAAUGCAUCAAUCUCAUGUUGGUAGGGAAUAUAAGACUUUCAAAAGAAAAAUGUAAGACUCUAGAUCAUCUCAAGACACAAUCUGGAAAGCCUCCACACCAUCAGUUAAAGCUAAAAUUCAAUUUGUAUCUAUUUAUUUGAUACAAGACAAGAAAAAUGAGCAAUUUGCACACAAAAAAGGACAAUAGGUUUAAUUUCCAGCAAAAAUGUCAAAAUGAGUAAUUUUGUGGGCAAUUGCUUUUUAAUAUUGUCGUCAUAGUGUAUGAGUGGUUACAUGUUUUGUCAAAUUCUGCCUUUCUUGCCCAGCAGUCGGUACGAUACAUCAAAUUGGAAAUUAUAGCAAUAGUAAAAUCAUGGACUAUGAUUGGUUGUGUGGUUUGUCAAAAUCUGUCUAUCUUAGUGAGCAAUCGGUACGAUACAUCAAAUAGAAAAUUCCAGUAGGCCCUAUUACAUGAUGGUCUAACCAUGUAUUACUAUUAACCUUGAUCAAGGACUCCUGUAAGUAGGACAGGGCACGCGCAAACAUGAAUUCAAAUUCGUGUGCAACAUGGGUCUAUCGAAAAGAAACAAUACAACGUGUUUGGGUGUAGAACGGGCUAUGACAACAAGCCACAACAGUCUGGUGUUACGAUCCCUCUGUGGCCAAACAAAGAGAGAAACUCCGGACUUCAUACCACCUGGCUGAGACCCAUUCCAAAAGAAACAGAUCUAAAGAAGACAGAUUCGGCACCAUCCAAAAGUACAAAGCUGUGUUCCCUGCAUUUCAACGACUCUGAUUUCAUCUGUGAGUCUAAAAGAAGUUCGACCCUUGGCAAGGCUCUAAAGAAGAGGUAAGACAGCUCCUCACUUUCGAUGCCUUCUGUACCUCAAACAGAUGUAGUACCAUCUCUUUGGUCAAACUGCCCCAACUAUCUCUCAACUCAUAAAGCGUCAUCAAGGCCAACUCAAGUUGCAACUACAUCACGUAGGGCUCAACAGUUCAAUGACUUACAACAGCAUCUGGAAUUUGAACUCUUGAUUGAGGAGUCAGUCCUCUCUGUAGAAGAACUUGCUGACAAAUUGGCCAAGGAGACACUCCCAUCAGACUUCAUCCUCAUCACAAAACCAAGUGUUGCUCUUUUGAAGCUAUCCCAUGAUGAGAAAUUGGGCCCCAAGUAGUAGCUAGCAUCCAGUUUGAGACAGAUAUGUCAUUCAAAAUGUACCACUCUGGCGUGUUGAUUGACAAAAAGGCAGUGUCACACAUCACCUCAGAAGGCAAGGCCAACACUGCGAUUCAAGCCAUUAAUUUGGCUUCCUUUCUGGGAGCAAAAGAAGAAUGGAAUAAAUAGCCUGGGAAGACAUUUUCAACAAGUUAGUGAAGUUUCUCAACUCCUCAAAGAUUGAACCUAUAGAAGCUUCUAAGCUCUCUUUCAUUCGUGAGCCAAUGGCUCUCCUCUUCACCAACCCAACAGUUAGAAAAUAUUUACCUUGUCUUCUUUCAACCGCACUCAUGUGGGAGAAUUGGAGCUCAAGACUUAUCUGCAGAUCUGCUCAUCUAAUUUGGUGAUCCUGCUAACCCCAAGACACCUGAAAAGAGUUGCUGCUCCAGUCAGUGUUGAGUCAUCAGAGACACACCUCUGGUCUCAAUAACCUUCGAUAACCCAACCAAUCAGCAUGUAGACCUGAAAUAGUUCAUCGACAUAAUGAGCAGAGGAAGAAUGUCGACUCCAUCCAACCUUCUCUACCUCUCCUGUCUUUAUGCUCACUCCAUGUUCUCUUAAACCACAGCUACUCCUGAAGAGAAAGACAGUUUACUUGGCACCCCAAAUCCUAGAGCUUCAUUUGUUGCCACAUUCAUUGACAGGAUGUAGGACAGUUUAAACUCUGACAUUAUCGCCGUAGUGGGAGUAAAGUACGAGGAAGGACACUCCUGGUCAGCUUUUCUUCAAAGAAUUUCAUUCGCUUUGUUUAAUGUCAUGGGUAAACAUUUAAGUGCUAAACUGAAUGAUAACAUCCGAUUUUUAACAAAAAAGAGAAUGUCAGCUAAGAAUUCAGAAGCUAAUAGAA
rnacentral:lncRNA from 1 species